CAAGUUGUCAAGGCUGGAGUCCCUGAAGUGAGAGACUGCUAUUUGGGGACUCCAGUUUUCAGCUUUUUAUCUUUUAUUGUGGCAAUAAAGAUUUUGGAAGAUCAAUAUUCUUUGGCUGUGCACAUCUUUUACAAGAUUGGUCCACCCCACAAGAGGAAGCUGAAUGCUGUAUGGUGGUGGAGAGGAGCCUUGACAGCUUGAGCAGACUUACCUGCACUUUGGUCAUAAUUGUGCACUUUAAUUCACCAUGCACUUUUAAUUGUGCACUUUACGAUAUUGUGUUUUUUU